rnacentral:lncRNA from 11 species
AGCCCACCCAACCCAGCCAUCCUCUUCAGGAAGGUGGCACACAUUGAAAAGUAUCCAUCAACACUGGACAAGCAGGAAUCAUGGUUAAAUCCACUGAAACUGUAUCAGCGAAAGCAUCCAAGCUGGAGCAAAUCUGAGGUUCUGCAGAACACAUGGAUGCUGUCAUUUCCCUGCUUCCCAAAAACAAAUCUGAGACAUCACGAAAAUUGCAAAUCACAUGCUCCUCAUUCGUAUACAUGUUCAAUAACUUGAUUUCCAGAGAAUCUGGUCUCUAGCCAGUCUUUCUCAUAGGAUUGUUGAUGUGAUCUCACCAUUUUUGCUGCCGAAAAUAAACCAUGCUGUCGUCACCUCCUACUUAGAUUGCAUCACUUUUUUUCAAACAAUGAUAUUAUUAACAUUAUCACAUGUCUUAGUUAAACUUUGAUAGAUUUGACUGAUUGAUAUUUUAGGGCAUCAUUGCCAGGACAAAAGCAGCUUGAAAUAAAUUACAGUGAUA